AUUGAACGCUGGCGGAAUGCUUUACACAUGCAAGUCGAACGGCAGCACGGACUUCGGUCUGGUGGCGAGUGGCGAACGGGUGAGUAAUACAUCGGAACGUGCCUAGUCGCGGGGGAUAACGUAGCGAAAGCUACGCUAAUACCGAAUACGAGCGAAGGAUGAAAGCGGGGGAUCGCAAGGCCUCGCGCGAUUGGCGCGGCCGAUGGCGGAUUAGGUAGUUGGUAGGGUAAAGGCCUACCAAGCCGACGAUCUGUAGCUGGUCUGAGAGGAUGAUCAGCCACACUGGGACUGAGACACGGCCCAGACUCCUACGGGAGGCAGCAGUGGGGAAUUUUGGACAAUGGGCGCAAGCCUGAUCCAGCCAUUCCGCGUGCAGGAUGAAGGCCUUCGGGUUGUAAACUGCUUUUGUACAGAACGAAAAGGCUCUGGUUAAUACCCGGGGCUCAUGACGGUACUGUAAGAAUAAGCACCGGCUAACUACGUGCCAGCCGCCGCGGUAA
rnacentral:rRNA from 1 species